GCUUAGCCCUAAACCUAGGUAGAGCCCAUACAACUCUACCCGCCAGAGAACUACAAGUGAAAAACUAGAAACUCCAAGGACUUGGCGGUGCUCCACAUCAACCUAGAGGAGCCUGUCCUAUAAUCGAUAUUCCACGUUAAACCUUACCACUUCUUGCCCAUCAGCCUAUAUACCGCCGUCGCCAGCCUACCUCAUGAGAGCCUAACAGUAGGCAAAACAGUUAACAACUAAAACGUCAGGUCAAGGUGUAGCUUAUGAAGUGGAAGAGAUGGGCUACAUUUUCUGCCACAGAAAACACGAACGGCACAAUGAAACUAGUGCCCAAAGGCGGAUUUAGCAGUAAAAUACAUAAGAGACUGUAUCUUAAGCCUGCUCUGGAGCGCGC
rnacentral:rRNA from 1 species